GCGGUAGUGGCGGAACUGGUAGACGCGACGGUCUCAAAAGCCGUUGUCGCAAGACGUGGGAGUUCGAGCCUCCCCUGCCGCACCA
rnacentral:tRNA from 1 species